GAUCCUGGCUCAGGACGAAUGCUGGCGGCGNGCUUAACACAUGCAAGUCGAACGAGAAUCACUGGAAGGAGUUUUCGGACAACGGAAGGUGAGGACAGUGGCGGACGGGUGAGUAACGCGUGAGGAACCUGCCUUUCAGAGGGGGACGGAACAGUUGGUAAACGGAACUGCUAAUAACCGCCAUGACACAUAGAGAUCGCAUGGUUUUUUAGUUUAGUUCAAAGAAUUUAAUUCGUCUGAAAGAAUGGCCGUCCGCGU
rnacentral:rRNA from 1 species